ACGGGUGAGUAACACGUAGGUAACCUGCCUAACAGACUGGGAUAACUACCGGAAACGGUAGCUGAGACCGGAUACGACAAUUUGGGGGCAUCCCCGGAUUGAGAAAAGCGGAGCAAUCUGCUGCUGAUAGAUGGACCUGCGGCGCAUUAGCUAGUUGGUGAGGUAGAGGCUCACCAAGGCGACGAUGCGUAGCCGACCUGAGAGGGUGAACGGCCACACUGGGACUGAGACACGGCCCAGACUCCUACGGGAGGCAGCAGUAGGGAAUCUUCGGCAAUGGACGAAAGUCUGACCGAGCAACGCCGCGUGAGUGAUGAAGGUUUUCGGAUCGUAAAACUCUGUUGCCAGGGAAGAAUAGUUAGGCGAGUAACUGCGCUUAGCAUGACGGUACCUGAGAAGAAAGCCCCGGCUAACUACGUGCCAGCAGCCGCGGUAAUACGUAGGGGGCAAGCGUUGUCCGGAAUUAUUGGGCGUAAAGCGCGCGCAGGCGGUUAAGUAAGUCUGGUGUAUAAACCAAGGGCUCAACCUUUGGACGCAUUGGAAACUGUUUGACUGGAGUGUAGGAGAGGAAAGUGGAAUU
rnacentral:rRNA from 1 species